rnacentral:lncRNA from 1 species
AUUGAACCCGCAACCUCAUGGUUCCUAGUGGGGUUCGUUAACCACUGUGCCAUGGCGGGAACUCCCCUUGGGUGUUGUAAUAUUUUAAAAUCUGUCUAGCUUUUAAAAAUUAUAACUGUGUUAAAAAUGUUGUAGCUGUACUCAUAAAAGUCUAAAUUUGGAACUUCUGGUUGUAAAUCCUACAUAUUACCUGUCCUAUGUGAGAAACGCAUCUUUGUGAACUUUUGCUUCAUCUUUUAGGUAAAUGAUUAGAACAUGCUUUGCUUCUCCUGUCUUGCAGGGAGACUGACUGUGACCCUGACUGUGAAAUCUGUGUUCCUGAUAGAAUUAUAUAGAUACAAUCUUCUACUAAUAGCAGCACUUUGGCUUAGUGGUGGCUGGAUCUGUAUUAAUAUUUUGGGUCUUAAUUGGUGACUGGAUCGACAGGAAACCAAAAAAGAAAGAAGGGAGCUGGAACAGUUCUGGCACUGCUGGCUCACCGUGUCUUCCAUCCACCCUGUGUGCCGUGAGAGUAAACGUCAGAGGCAAGACGCGAAUGCCCUUCAGUGAGUCAUCUCUGGGUGGUCCUGCUCACUGAUUUGGGAUCUAACUAAUCUUUAAGCAGUGUUCUCCUCACCCGUAAUUUUCAAAUCAGAGCCUAAAUCUCACAGACAUGCAGGCAAUGGAACAGCAGCGUCUCUGUCUGCAAGGUGGUCUGCUAUGCAGUUAUGAUCACUCUGGUGGCCUUGGCGAACCUGGCCAGCAUGGCACUGACCAUCACCAUUCGGAGAGACUGGGUUGUGAGCCAGGUGACAGCAGAGGCCAGCUGGCUGGUGAGCUGUGCCACCCCAAGACACAACGGAGCAUCACAGCUUCUCUAAUCUGCUGAGAAGUAGGUCUGGUGUGGUGAAUAGAGUUUGGGUGCUCUGAGAAAUGCAGUACUGUAGCCUUUAAGAGAACGUAUUUGGGAGUUCCUUUUGUGUCUCAGUGGGUUAAGAACCCAUUAGUAUCCAUGAGGAUGCAGGUUUGAUUCCUGGCCUCACUCAGUGGGUUAGGGAUCCGGCAUUGCCACAAGCUGUGGUAUAGGUUGCAGAUGCAGCUUGGAUCUGGCAUGGCUGUGGUGUAGGCCAGUGGCUGCAACUUUGAUUCAGCCCCUAUCCUGGGAACUUCUAUAUGCUGUAGGUGAAGCCCUAAAAAGCAAAAAGAAAAAAAAAGAAAAGAGAGAGAAAGAAGGUAUUUGGAGUCAAAGAGACCUGGAUUUGAAUCCAGCCAAAACCAACUACGGCAAGUUAACUAACCAGCUGCAAGUUAACUAACUUCCCUAGACUUUACUUUGCUCAUCUGUAGAAUGGGGAAAUUAUGACAACCCCCCACCUUGCCAUCACUCAGUUUGGGGAAGGCUUCUGUGAGAUAGGGGAUUUGUGAAGCACUUAGCAUUGUAUCUGCAUGUAGGAAGCGCAGAAGAAAUGGAUGAUGCCAUUAUUAUCAAAAAGAUGUACAGAGUGUACUUUGGGGAGAGGAGCCCCUUUGAAUAUAUUACAGAGGUUCUUUUUGGUAAUUUUAGAGUUGGAAAAUAAAUUACAAGAUUUCUUAAUUCUGGCCAGUGAUAAGCUUCUAUUUUCCCCAGAAAAUUCAUCACCAAAUGUGACUGUUGAUUAUUUUAAUCACUGAUAGUGAGACGCAGAAUUUUUUUUUUCAAUACUGGAGCUCGGUGAAAGAAUCUGGCAUCUUCUUUAUUUUUUUUCUUCCGCUUAUAAAUCUUGGAUCCCUCACAUCAUGAGAUAUUCAAAUCGCUAUCCUAAAGCUGGAGCUCUUGUCCUACCCUAUAUUUGUGCAAUUGGUACUCUGCUAGAAAAUGUUCAUGAGUGUGAUAGCCCAGAUAAAGGAAGCUGUUAUAGAGCCAUCUAUUAAAAUACACUCCUUGCAAAGUAUCGAAGCCCCUUAUAAUCAUGUUUUCUUCUAAACUACACUUAUUUGGAUGCACUGUGUCUUAAAUAACAGCCCCCAGAAUAAAACAGCUAUGUGGGUAAAAGCCGGGUGAUAUGGCGUUGAAAGUGUCCUCUAUCUCUGGGUAAAAGAAAAUCUUCCUACUCACUAUUAAUUAAUUUUGAAGAAAUCUAAAAUAAAGCACAGAUUGAGAUUUGAGGUUUAUUCUAGCUUAAAAAAAAGCUCGUGCAGUUCUUGCUGUUGCACAGUGGGUUAAGAAUCUGAGUGCAGUGGCUUGGGUUGCUACAAAGAUGCAUGUUCAAUCCCAGCCCAACACAGUUGGGUUAAGGAUCUGAAGUUCACAGCUUCAGCUUGGAUUCAGUCCCUGACCCUGGAACUUCCAUAUGGUGAGCGUGCCACCAUUAAAGAAAAAAUCAUCUUAUAAAUACGUUCUUUAAUGAUGGUGGCAUAGUUAAAAGAUUUGGGGUCAGAUGGCCUGGGUUUGAAUCUCACUUCCACCAUUU